CACGUAGGGUGCGAGCGUUGUCCGGAAUUAUUGGGCGUAAAGAGCUCGUAGGCGGUGUGUCGCGUCGGCCGUGAAAACCUGCAGCUUAACUGUGGGCCUGCGGUCGAUACGGGCAUCACUGGAGUUCGGCAGGGGAGACUGGAAUUCCUGGUGUAGCGGUGAAAUGCGCAGAUAUCAGGAGGAACACCGGUGGCGAAGGCGGGUCUCUGGGCCGAUACUGACGCUGGAGGAGCGAAAAGCCGUGGGGGAGC
rnacentral:rRNA from 1 species